CUGUCAACGAUCUCUCUUUUAUUUUAUCAGUAUUGGAAGAAAAAUACUAUCAGUAUGAAGAAAGGUUGCAGAGUGUUUGUAUGGUAGCGGAAAUAUCUAGCGGCUGAUAUUGAUCGAGUUAGGCAAGAAAGAGCGUGACGCGGCUGCUACGGAUAAACAAAUGCAAUGGGCCACCCACAACACAAGCAAACCACGCGUCCCCUCUAGAAACCACCCUAAAGAUUUUCCUCCCCGAUAAUCCAAUCCAAUAUGCGCCAGCUGCAAGCUCUCACGCCAGCCACUCGCUCAUUUUCUUCCCUUCCUGCAUGCCAUGUCCUCUUCUCUUCUCUUCCCUCUAUGCUUGAUAUUAUUAGUACAGCUCACCAGCAACAGGUUCACUUGAAAAGAAACUCCACUCUACUGGAUUUUCCUAAGGCCCCUUCUAUUCAAAGAAAAUUCAUAGAAAUUUUAAAGGAUUUUAUUUCUAUAGAAAUUUUUCCUAUAUAGCCAUUUGAAUCAAAGGAAUGAAUCCUAUGUAAUCGCAUGAAAUUCCUAUGGAAUGCCUCUUCCCAUGUGUGAACAUCAGGCGUUUUGGAUAAUGGGUUACAAUAAAUAGAAGGUCAGGAAAAAGAUGGAUGGUUCAGAUUAAAACUUUUUUUAAUGGUAAAACCCAUGCAUUAACCAAGCAUGCCCUGUCCUUCCACCAGUGGAACGUGAAUUUCUGUAAUGUGCUUACACUAACAUUUAUGCUUCUCCAUUUUUUUUAGCAAAUAAGUCACCACCACUUAGCUCCAAACAUGCAUGUAUUGAGCAGUAAGAGCAGUCAAAACAGGCGGUUUAGUAACCAUACCGUCAUCAGCGUAGGGCUGUAGCAAUUUAGCGGUGUUAGUUGGAGUUGUGGGUUCGGUGGUUGGUGCACUUCAUCAAAGCAGAAAAAGAACAUGUAUGCUAUGCAUACUUGGUCAGCAAUCGCCGCGUACAUUACCACCCACUCAAGCAAACAGCUUUCCCAUUUGUCUGUAUCACCUGAAAACUUAGUAUGUGCAUUUCCUUUUUCUUC